AACGAACGCUGGCGGCAUGCCUCAUACAUGCAAGUCGAACGCAGGCUUCGGCCUGAGUGGCGCACGGGUGAGUAGCGCGUGGGAACCUACCCUCUCGUGGGGGAUAACCGAGGGAAACUUCGGCUAAUACCGCAUACGCCGGGUAACCGGGAAAGAUUUAUCGCGGAAGGAUGGGCCCGCGUCGGAUUAGCUAGUUGGUG
rnacentral:rRNA from 1 species